rnacentral:snRNA from 1 species
AUACUUACCUGGCGUAGGGGAUACCGUGAUCAUGCAGGCGGUUCCUCCAGGGUGAGGCUGCUCCAUUGCACUGCGGAGUGGUUGACCCAUGCGAUUUUUUUUUAUCUUUAUCAAUAAAAAAAUCGUAAUAAAAAAUGUAUACCCGAAUUAUUAUUUUCUUUAUA